UACGGGGGGGGCAAGCGUUGUUCGGAAUUACUGGGCGUAAAGGGCUUGUAGGUGGCCAACUAAGUCAGACGUGAAAUCCCUCGGCUUAACCGGGGAACUGCGUCUGAUACUGGAUGGCUUGAGUGUGGGAGAGGGAUGCGGAAUUCCAGGUGUAGCGGUGAAAUGCGUAGAUAUCUGGAGGAACACCGGUGGCGAAGGCGGCAUCCUGGACCGACAUUGACGCUGAGGCGCGAAAGCCAGGGGAGCAAACGGG
rnacentral:rRNA from 1 species